UACGUAGGGUGCGAGCGUUAAUCGGAAUUACUGGGCGUAAAGUGUGCGCAGGCGGCCGCGCAAGUCGAGUGUGAAAGCCCCGGGCUUAACUUGGGAAUUGCGCUCGAAACUACGUGGCUGGAGUGUGGCAGAGGAAGGUGGAAUUCCAGGUGUAGGCGGUGAAAUGCGUAGAGAUCUGGAGGAACACCGAUGGCGAAGGCAGCCAUUCUCGGGCCAACACUG
rnacentral:rRNA from 1 species